GUCUAUGGCCACACCACCCUGAACACGCCCAAUCUCCUCUGAUCUCGGAAACUAGCAGGGUCAGGCCUGGUUAGUACUUGGAUGGGAGACAAAGCAAAUAAUACUGUCCAAGUGAGCUUCUUGCUAUCCCUUAGCA
rnacentral:rRNA from 1 species